CCGAGAGACCACAUUUCCUAGGAUGCCCUGCGGUGCGUCCAGUUGCGCUGCCCUCUUAGGCGGAGGAAUGAUGUAGGGAAGCUUGAUAAAAACAAGAGUUAAAGGAAUAGGUGUCGGACGAGAGGGUCUGAAGUUCGCGACGGCUAGAAAGGGAGGGGAGUGGAAAAGCCGUCGGUACAGAAGGCCCAACAGUCAAUAUACGGGACCCUGUGUGCCUGGCCUCUGGAAGCUUUGAUAUCAUUUGCCUAAUUUGUGUGCUUCAGCCACCCUGGCCUGCUUGUGAGUCUUCAAACACUCCAAGGCCAUUCCUGCCUCAGAACCUUUGCACCCAGUCUUCUGCCUGAAAAACUUCCCAGAGAAUUCACGUACAGAAUCCUUCAGAUCAAAGCUGAUCAAUAAAUUCAAUAUGUAAAACAGAUAAGUGUAGUCGAAGUGUGGAGAAUUAACCAUCCCAACCAGGGGAAAAUUCAUCUUCUCAUGAAACUUGAAAUACCACCUCUGUAAUAUAUUCAUUAAAAACUUUACCCAUUUUCAA